rnacentral:rRNA from 1 species
GAUGAACGCUGGCGGCGCGCCUAACACAUGCAAGUCGAACGAUUAAAGCACCUUCGGGUGUGUAUAAAGUGGCGAACGGCUGAGUAACACGUGGGCAACCUGCCCCUUUCAUUGGGAUAGCCACGGGAAACCGUGGAUAAUACCGAAUACUUCGAGACUUCCGCAUGGAAGACUCGAGAAAGCUCCGGCGGAGAGGGAUGGGCCCGCGGCCUGUUAGCUUGUUGGUGGGGUAACGGCCUACCAAGGCAAUGCUGGGUAGCUGGGUUGAGAGACCGACCAGCGAGAUGGGGACUGAGACACGGCCCAGAAUCCUACGGGAGGCAGCAGUGGGGAAUCUUGCACAAUGGGCGAAAGCCUGAUGCAGAGACGCCGCGUGCGGGAUGAAGGCCCUCGGGUUGUAAACCGCUUUCAGCAGAGACGAGGCGAAAGUGACGGUACCUGCAGAAGAAGCCCCGGCUAACUACGUG